CCGCCAGAGAGAGACCCGAGCCCCGCCAGAGAGAGACCCGAGCCCCGCUAGAGAGAGACCCGAGCCCCGCCAGAGAGAGACCCGAGCCCCGCCAGAGAGAGACCCGAGCCCCGCCAGAGAGAGACCUGAAACCCCAGUUCGCCGACAAAGACGGGAGCCUGGAGCGGGUCUGAGGCCCCUGUUGGCCGGUUUCACUCCGUGGCUCUCCUCCACAGCUCCACGCCGCCGCUCAGGCCCGGGCUCAGGGCUGAGAUGACCGGAGGACCGGAGGACCCGUGAGAACCAGGAUGGAAGUGUGCGGCCGGACUCCGAACCGGACGGAGCCGGCGGGGUCCCGGUCCGGGUCCGGGUCCGGGUCCCGGUCCGGGCCGGCGCUGCUCCCGGACCAACGGCUGGAGCUGGCCCCCCCACCCCCUGCAGCUGCUGGCCUGGCUGCUCUACGUCUUCUUCGCCGUGGCGGGCUUCGGCGUCUUCGUGCCGCUGCUGCCGGCGCACUGGAUCCCCGCCGGGUACAUCUGCACGGGCGUCACGUUCUCCGCCCACCUGCUGGUCCACGUCCUGGCCGUCUCCGUGGACCCGGCGGACCGGAACGUCCGGCUGAAGGCCGACCGCGGCCCGCCGCCCGCCUUCGACCGGACCCGCCGCGCCCACGUCAUCGAGAACUGCCACUGCUUCCUGUGCCAGGUGGACGUAGGCUCCAAGUCGAAGCACUGCUCCUCCUGCAACAAGUGUGUGGCCGACUU